AUACGGAGGGUGCGAGCGUUAAUCGGAAUUACUGGGCGUAAAGCGCGCGCAGGCGGCUGGGUCAGUCGGAUGUGAAAGCCCCGGGCUUAACCUGGGAAUUGCAUUCGAUACUGCCCGGCUAGAGUAUGGGAGAGGGAAGUGGAAUUUCCGGUGUAGCGGUGAAAUGCGUAGAUAUCGGAAGGAACACCAGUGGCGAAGGCGACUUCCUGGCCCAAUACUGACGCUGAGGUGCGAAAGCGUGGGGAGCAAACAGGAUUAGAAACCCCAGUAGUCC
rnacentral:rRNA from 1 species